AAACGCGUAGCCUGAGAAAGGAGAGUGGGGUGGAUCUUCGCUCGUGUCGUCUUGGAACUGCAGAAGCUCAGCCUUCCACUUCCCAUUGGAGACGUGCAUAGUCAGCUCCUCUUGCACCUUCCUUUGGCACCUGCUUUCUUUAGAGUCCCACCUGUUGGAUAUGCGGCCACUGCUGAUCUGCAGAUUCCCUCUUGAUAUUCAACUGUUGCAAGCAGACCAUGGGGGAUGAAACGGA